ACAAGUUAGUAAGUAUCAUCUUGUGGGAAAAUGACAGAACAACUUUUGGAGGAACAGAUCGCUGAAUUCAAGGAGACUGAAAGCAAUGAGAUUGCUUGGACAGAAUCCCACUGAAUCUGAAUUGCAAGAUCGAUUUCACAGAGUUCUUGAAUUUGAUGGAUAAGAAAAUGAAGCUUUGGCAUGUAAUGACAAAUCUUGGAGAGACGUUGUCAGAUGAAGAAGUGGAUGAGAUGGUCCGAGAAGCAGAUAUUGAUGGUGAAGGUGAUGGACAGGUAAAUUAGGAGGAGUUUUUUAGGAUGAUGCUGGCUAAGUAAAUUGCUUCUUAAUUCCUUAGCUGGAAUGUAAUUAGCUGAUGAGUUAUCAGUGGAAGCAGCUAGUGGUUAAACUCUGCCUACAGGAUACCUAAUAACAGAAGGGCCGCGCGUUGGGAAGCUAA